rnacentral:lncRNA from 1 species
CUCGCUCUUCACCGUCGCCGCAGAAGCCUCUCCAUCAGUUACGGCUUCCUUCUGCCCAUCCACGCCCAUCGGCACCGCCUGGAGCAGCUGGGCAGGAUUCCAGGAAUGGCACAGCAUUGCCCGCUGCUUUGGGCUGAGCCUCUCCUGCCUUCGUGGGCUCUGUGACACCGCCGUCCCCUCCCACAGGGCUCCCGGGCUCGGGCAGCCCGCCCUCCUCAGCUCCCAUCCCACUUUCUGGUGAGCUCUGAAGGUCUCUGGAGUCAUUUUCUUCCGAGUGGGCUGCAGUGUCUGAGGUCAUCUUGGGUUUACCCUCUUUGGUCCCCACGGGCUUCUUGGUUUUCUCCUUUUUGCCUGCCAUCGUUCUCGCUGUCUUGGUGGCGGCGGUGCUGGCGGUUGGGUGUUUUCUGGCGCUCGGGGCCGCUCUUUUGAUGAUCCGAGUCCUCUUUUUGACACUCGUUUUGGCCUGGCUGGGAGAUGCUUUGGGCUUCUCUGCGACGCUGAUCUUCACCUGUUUCCCAUUCACCAGCACUGGCACAGUUUCACCAUACUUGACGGCUGCUAUCACCGCCUCCUUGUAGUUCAUUUCCA